UGAGCCUCAGCACUUAUCUUUAACAGCA
rnacentral:piRNA from 1 species